rnacentral:rRNA from 1 species
CAGGCUUAACACAUGCAAGUCGAGGGGCAGCAUGGUCUUAGCUUGCUAAGGCCGAUGGCGACCGGCGCACGGGUGAGUAACACGUAUCCAACCUGCCGUCUACUCUUGGACAGCCUUCUGAAAGGAAGAUUAAUACAAGAUGGCAUCAUGAGUCCGCAUGUUCACAUGAUUAAAGGUAUUCCGGUAGACGAUGGGGAUGCGUUCCAUUAGAUAGUAGGCGGGGUAACGGCCCACCUAGUCUUCGAUGGAUAGGGGUUCUGAGAGGAAGGUCCCCCACAUUGGAACUGAGACACGGUCCAAACUCCUACGGGAGGCAGCAGUGAGGAAUAUUGGUCAAUGGGCGAGAGCCUGAACCAGCCAAGUAGCGUGAAGGAUGACUGCCCUAUGGGUUGUAAACUUCUUUUAUAAAGGAAUAAAGUCGGGUAUGGAUACCCGUUUGCAUGUACUUUAUGAAUAAGGAUCGGCUAACUCCGUGCCAGCAGCCGCGGUAAUACGGAGGAUCCGAGCGUUAUCCGGAUUUAUUGGGUUUAAAGGGAGCGUAGAUGGAUGUUUAAGUCAGUUGUGAAAGUUUGCGGCUCAACCGUAAAAUUGCAGUUGAUACUGGAUAUCUUGAGUGCAGUUGAGGCAGGCGGAAUUCGUGGUGUAGCGGUGAAAUGCUUAGAUAUCACGAAGAACUCCGAUUGCGAAGGCAGCCUGCUAAGCUGCAACUGACAUUGAGGCUCGAAAGUGUGGGUAUCAAACAGGAUUAGAUACCCUGGUAGUCCACACGGUAAACGAUGAAUACUCGCUGUUUGCGAUAUACUGCAAGCGGCCAAGCGAAAGCGUUAAGUAUUCCACCUGGGGAGUACGCCGGCAACGGUGAAACUCAAAGGAAUUGACGGGGGCCCGCACAAGCGGAGGAACAUGUGGUUUAAUUCGAUGAUACGCGAGGAACCUUACCCGGGCUUAAAUUGCAGAUGAAUUACGGUGAAAGCCGUAAGCCGCAAGGCAUCUGUGAAGGUGCUGCAUGGUUGUCGUCAGCUCGUGCCGUGAGGUGUCGGCUUAAGUGCCAUAACGAGCGCAACCCUUGUUGUCAGUUACUAACAGGUUCCGCUGAGGACUCUGACAAGACUGCCAUCGUAAGAUGUGAGGAAGGUGGGGAUGACGUCAAAUCAGCACGGCCCUUACGUCCGGGGCUACACACGUGUUACAAUGGGGGGCACAGAGGGUCGCUACCACGCGAGUGGAUGCCAAUCCCCAAAACCUCUCUCAGUUCGGACUGGAGUCUGCAACCCGACUCCACGAAGCUGGAUUCGCUAGUAAUCGCGCAUCAGCCACGGCGCGGUGAAUACGUUCCCGGGCCUUGUACACACCGCCCGUCAAGCCAUGGGAGCCGGGGGUACCUGAAGUGCGUAACCGCGAGGAGCGCCCUAGGGUAAAACUGGUGACUGGGGCUAAGUCAUAAC